GGAUGCGAUCAUACCAGCACUAAAGCACCGGAUCCCAUCAGAACUCCGAAGUUAAGAGUGCUUGGGCGAGACUAGUACUAGGAUGGGUGACCUCCUGGGAAGUCCUCGUGUUGCAUUCC
rnacentral:rRNA from 1 species